UACAGAGGUCUCAAGCGUUGUUCGGAUUCAUUGGGCGUAAAGGGUGCGUAGGCGGCUCGGUAAGUCGGGUGUGAAACCCCCAGGCUCAACCUGGGGACGCCACCCGAUACUGCUGUGGCUAGAGUCCAGUAGGGGAGUGUGGAAUUCCCGGUGUAGCGGUGAAAUGCGCAGAUAUCGGGAGGAACACCGGUGGCGAAAGCGGGUCUCUGGGCCUUACCUGGACGCUGAGGCGCGAAAGCUAGGGGAGCGAACAGG
rnacentral:rRNA from 1 species